UCAGAGUGAACGCUAGCGGCGCGCCUAACACAUGCAAGUCGAGUGCCAUUAAAAGCACGGCAAACGGCUGCGUAACACGUUGGUAUCUGCCCCAGACUCAGGGAUAACUCCGCGAAAGCGGAGCUAAUACCGGAUGGUCCCCCCUUCGCUCUUUGCUCGUUACACUCGCAAACAGCUCCGGAGGGGCAAGCCCGAAAGGGCCUGCCCGCCGUAGCCUCCUUGCGAGCAAAGCGAGUAAGGAGCGGAGGUGGGUAAAGAUUUUUCGGUCUGGGAGGAGCCUGCGGCCUAUCAGCUAGUUGGUGAGGUAACGGCUCACCAAGGCAAUGACGGGUAGCUGGUCUGAGAGGACGAUCAGCCAGAAUGGAACUGAGACACGGUCCAUACUCCUACGGGAGGCAGCAGUGAGGAAUCUUCCGCAAUGGGCGAAAGCCUGACGGAGCGACGCCGCGUGAAGGAUGAAGGCCCUUACGGGUCGUAAACUUCUGUUCUGAGGGACGAAAUUUUUGACGGUACCUCAGGAGAAAGUAUCGGCAAACCCUGUGCCAGCAGCCGCGGUAAUACAGGGGAUACAAGCGUUACUCGGAAUUACUGGGCGUAAAGCGUCUGUAGGUGCUUUGGAAAGUCUGCGGUAAAAACUCGGGGCUUAACCCCGAGAGCGUCGCGGAAACUCCCAAAGUUGAGCAGUAGAGAGGCAUCUGGAAUGCCGCAUGUAGGAGUAAAAUCCGUAGAUAUGCGGUAGAACGCCAAAAGCGUAGGCAGGAUGCUAGCUACUUGCUGACACUGAGAGACGAAAGCGUGGGGAGCGAAGCGGAUUAGAUACCCGCGUAGUCCACGCCCUAAACGAUGUGUGCUCGAUGUGGGGGAUUCUCAAUUGUCCUCCGUGUCCAAGCUAACGCGGUAAGCACACCGCCUGGGAAGUACGGUCGCAAGACUAAAACUCAAAGGAAUAGACGGGGACCCACACAAGCGGUGGAGCAUGGGGUUUAAUUCGAUAGUAAGCGGAGAACCUCACCUAGGCUUGACAUCUUUGGAAUCCCGCAGAAACGCGGGAGUGCCGCAAGGAACCAAAAGACAGGCGCUGCACGGUUGUCGUCAGCUCGUGCCUUGAGGUGUACUGUUAAGUCAGCGAACGAGCGCAACCCUCAUCCUGUGUUGUUUUUUCACGGGAGACUGCCGCCUCCAAGGCGGAGGAAGGUGGGGAUGACGUCAAAUCAGCGUGGCCCUUAUGCCUAGGGCAACACCCGUGCUACAAUGGCCGGUACAAACCGUUGCGAACUCGCGAGAGGGAGCUAAUCGGAGAAAGCCGGUCUCAGUUCGGAUUGAAGUCUGCAACUCGACUUCAUGAAGUUGGAAUCGCUAGUAACCGUGAAUCAGCUACGUCACGGUGAAUAUGUUCCUGGGUCUUGUACUCACCGCCCGUCAAGUCAUGAAAGGUAGGAGCACCUGAAGGACCCUUACUCGCAAGAGGGGGUACCACGGUGAAACUACUGAUUGGGACU
rnacentral:rRNA from 1 species